GCAGGCGCGCAAAUUACCCAAUCCCAACACACUGGGGAGGUAGUGACAAAAAAUAUCAAUGCAGGGCGAUUACGUCGUUCUGUAAUUGGAAUGGUCCGAACUUAAAUAAUUCGGAGAGUAUCAAUUAGAGGGCAAGUCUGGUGCCAGCAGCCGCGGUAAUUCCAGCUCUAAUAGCGUAUACUAAAGUUGCUGCAGUUAAAAAGCUCGUAGUUGGAUUUUGGGGGAGUUAUAUUGCGGUCUCAGGGCUUCGGCCAGGGGACGGAUAUUUCUCUUCUUCUAUUCGAAGACUCAUCUUCCUCUUCACUGAGCGGAGGUGAGGAUUCGGAGCCUUUACUUUGAAGAAAUUGGAGUGUUCAAAGCAGGCUUGAUGCAAUUGAACAUAUUAGCAUGGAAUAAUAAAAUAGGACGAACGCCCCAUUUUGUUGGUUUCUGAGACGAUCGUAAUGAUUAAUAGGGACAGUUGGGGGCAUUUGUAUUGCGUCGUCAGAGGUGAAAUUCUUGGAUUGACGCAAGACAAACUACUGCGAAAGCAUUUGCCAAGGAUGUUUUCAUUAAUCAAGAACGAAAGUUAGGGGAUCGAAGGCGAUUAGAAACCGCCCUAGUCCUAACCAUAAACGAUGCCAACUCAGUAUUGGAGGGUGUUAACCAAACGACCCUUUCAGCACUGCUAGAGAAAUCAAAGU
rnacentral:rRNA from 1 species